CUAAAAUUUAUUUAAAAUUAUAAAUAUGUGAUUAAUUUAUUUUUAUUUCCAUAGGUUUUUUGGGGAACAAGUGGUAUUUGGUUACAUGAGUAAGUUCUUUAGUGGUGAUUUGUGAGAUUUUGGUGCACACAUCAAGCGAGCAGCAUACACUGAACCCAAUUUGUAGUCUUUUGCCCCCCCAACCCUUUCCCCUGAAUCCCCGAAGUUCAUUGUAUCAUUCUUAUGCUUUUGCAUCCUCAUAGCUUAGCUCUCACUUAUGAUUGAGAACAUACGAUGUUUGGUUUUCCAUUCCUGAGUUACUUCACUUAGAAUAAUAUUCUCCAGUUCCAUCAAGGUUGCUGCAAAUGCCAUUAAUUCAUUCCUUUUCAUGGCUGAGUAGUAUUCCAUCGUAUAUACAUAUACCACAGUUUCUUUAUCUACUCAUUGAUUGAUGGGCAUUUGGGCUGGUUCCAUAUUUUUAUAAUGUGAAUUAUGCUGCUAUUAACAUGCAUAUAUAAGUAUCUUUUUAAUAUAAUGACUUCUUUUCCUCUGGGUAGAUACCCAGUAGUGGGAUUGCUGGAUCAAAUGGUAGUUCUACAUUUAGUUCUAUAAGGAAUCUCUACACAGUUUUCCAUAGUGAUUAUACUAGUUUACUUUCCCACCAGCAGUGUAGAAGUGUUUCCUUUUCACUGCAUCCACACCAACAUCUAAUAUUUUUAGAUUUUUUAUUAUGGCCAUUCUUGUAGGAGUAAGGUGGCAUUGCAUUGUGGUUUUGAUUUGCAUUUCCCUGAUCGUUAGUGAUGUUGAGCAUGUUUUUCAUAUGUUUGUUGGCCAUUUGUAUAUCUUCUUUUGGGAAUUGUCUAUUAAUGUCCUUAGCUCACUUUUUGGUAAAAUUAUUUGUUUUAUCAAAUUUUUUUUUAGUUCCUUGUAGACUGUAGAUAUUAGUCAUUUGUCAGAUGUAUAAUUAUGUAAGAAUAGUCAGGAUCUUCCUGAAGAAAAAAAAAGACUACAGGAAGAAUCUUAUCUUUAGCUCCAUCAUAUAUAAAACAUAAUAAAAAGUGAAAGUAGCUAAAAUAUUAUAUUAUUGACACCAGAUAGACAGAUUGUCUGUUAGAGUAGAGUCCCAAAAUAGACCCGACUAUACCAGUGAAAAGAAGAAGAGAAUGGAGAUACUGCUAUAUUUGUAAUUUCUUUAUACUUUGCUGAGUGCUGACUUACUCGUUACCACGAAGGUGGGAGCCAUGGUUACACCUCUCUUCACUGUAUACCCAGAAACCAACACAGUCCUUGGAAGGUAGGAAGAUGUAAACAUUUGUUGUCUGAUUGAACAAAUGUUAGGGAGUAGUUCAUGUAUUGCUUGAGGGCCACCCAGCUUAAGUAAACAGUGGUUGGUGAUUCAAACAAUAGUUUCUUAGGAGAAAUACAUAUCAUUUAUUAAAUCAUAGAAAGUCCCAUUCAAAUCAUGAUAGAAAAAAUUGAUUAUUCAAUAAGCAUACUAUUUUGAAAUAUUAAAGAUAGAUUUACACUCUACUUCUCAUGCUUAAAUAAACUAAUAUUGUUUUAUAAUAGCAAAAACACUGGGAAGAACUUAAUCUCUAACAAUAUGGCACUAAUUAAGUUCUUAAAACAUACUUAGGGAGAUGUCGAAGACAAAUUAAUAUACGUAAAAGCUAAUAGCAGAAUACUAAAUAUAGUAUUCUUUCUUUAGUAUAAAACCAAUCUAUCUUAUAUAUAGUAAUAUACGAGCAAAAAAACUUCAAAAACGAUAUGCAAUGCACAGCAUGAUCUAAAACUAGGUGAAGUCAACAUGUGGUUGAGGAGAUCUUAUUUGAAAUUUUAAAUUUUUUCCCACCAAGCAUUAUAGCACUUUAAUGUUUGAAAUAAAGAAUACAGUUGGAAAAAAAAAUAAAAGGAAAUGUUUAGGACCUAGCAGUUAGAUAGCAAUUGAAUUCAAGCCAAGUGUACAGAUAGGAGUGUCUGAAAUGGCUUUCCCUCUUACGAUGAUGAUAUAUUUGGAAAGGUCCGGUGGGGUGUUUCUAAGGAAACUUAGCAGUGAAGUCCAAAACCAUCAUCUCCAUCAAAAAAAGGGAGUAGGUCUCUGCGUUAUGGGAAGAUAAAAAGGGGAAGUGAAUUGAAUAUUACAUUAAUAACAAAAGUAAACAUCUUUGUUUAAAACAACAACAGUCCUGCAGCUAUUAAAUCUCAGCAGACAGAACCAGACGAGAACAGGACUAACUGCUCAGAUAAGACCCUGCCAAGAGUGAAAGUAUCAGCAAAAGGAAAUGUAUGCUAGUCUAAAACUCAAUUAAUUUCAUCAAGGGUAUCACUGAAAACAAAUUAUCAUGUCCGAUAACACAAAACCCUCACAAGCCAAAGGACACAGAUAACACUCAAGUUCAAAGGCUUAUAGUUUACUUUGUUUUUAGUAAGCUACAUUUUCUCUAAACAUAACAGGAAUAAUUAAAGGAUGUUUCCUGUGCUGUUUCUGAUAUUAAUUAAAGCUGUCCAGUGGUACCGAUAUGAGAACAAUAGUGAUAGAGCCAGCCAGUUUCAUGUGAACUGCUUGUUGCAAAUCAACUGAGGAGUUUGCUUUUUGGUAUUAGCUCAAUCUCACUUGUUCAUGUUUGGAGUUACAGCAAUGCAAAGUGCGUCCUUUUUCUUGACAAUUGCCUUUCUAUCUUCUUGUAGUGAGAUUAGGAAAUGAGCCAAGUGAAAGCUUGGUAUCUGCACAAGCACAGAUGGACAUUGCUCUGUAGGUGGUUGAACUCUUUCCACAGUAGCCAUUGGCUGGUGCACAUCUGAUUACCAUUGUUUGGUCGCUCAAAUGGGAUUGUUUUUACUUUUGCUUUUUGAUUUGUUAAAGAAAAAUACAGAGUUGAGGAAACAGCUCAGGAAUGAAGGCUGUGGCUCUGUGUUCUCACUCCCAAAUAUGACUCACAUCUCUAAUGAGGCUUGGGGCCAGUCACUUAACUCCUAUGGCUCAAUGUCUUUCUCUAUAAAAAAAGAAAUGGUAGCACCAAAUGAUCUGCAGUGGUGUUUUUGAAAUUAUCUAAUGAGUGUAAAGGAAUCUGAGAAAAAAAUAAGGCAAAAGGAAAGAUAUAUAUCUUUAUCUAUAAAAGGGAAAUAAAGAUUGCUACAUGAUAAAUUGUUGUCAAGGAAGAAAAACAUCUCUAAGGGAGAGCUUUAAAAAUAGAACAAAUUUUUAUUUCUCUGGGGUGGUCCUAAAGGAUCUGAAGACACAUAUUGGAACUAGAUAGUCUUACCAGGUCUCUUCCAGUCCUAUGACUUCAUAAUGCCAAAUCCUGAAAGAUUGUCUAUGUUAUACCUACGAAAAUAGACUUAUCAUUCUAGUCAUUAAAGAACAAAAAUGUGCCACAGUUCUUCUGUGUUUUACAAAUUGAGCAAAACUGCUGAACUAUGAAAAAAGUUUUAAAUCUCAACUCCUAUAGCUCUUACAAACCUCAGGGAAAGUUCUAAAAUCUUAACUUAUAAAAAUGAAUUUUAGCAAAGAAAAUGGAUUACCAUAUUUCAAUUAAAAUUCUAAAGGACCCCAAAGGCCUUGAGAAGAAAAGAUACAAAAACUGCCUUCAAAAACUGAAAGCAGUAACAACAACAAAAAAAGCCAAUAAAAAAAUCCCACAAUAAAAUAAUUUAAUGAACAUAUGGAUUUUUGCAACUGUUGAAGUUUGCUGCCAAUUUUGUAGUUAAUAUUUCUGAAAGUCAGAAUAUGCUGAUCACUACGUGUUUAUAAAAACAUUCUCAAUAGUAAAGACAAAAUAUUGCACUUUGGCACAUUUACUGAGCACAUGGGCAAUUAUAUCAGACUCUUACUUCACUCAAAAAGGAGAGUAAAGUAAAGGAGGAAGCCUCUCUUGUAGUUUUAUGUGAUCUGUUUCAAUACCUUAGGACUCUUGAUGUAAGGGCUUUCUGUAUGAACAGCUCACCAACAUAGAAACAAAUGACAAUAGUCCUUUAAGUAUUUAGUAAUUGUAAAAAUAUUUGGGAAGAUAAAAACGUGGGAUUUUUUGUGAUAUUUUCCAAUGACAGCUGGAAAUAUGAUUUUUCUUUACUUCAGGAAACUAAAACCUCUGGGAUUUUUCAAAUGUUUAUUUUGGACAAAGACUAUGAAAACAUUCAGUAUUUACCCUAGUGCCAUUUGAAGCUCGUGUUUUGGGUCUGAGACGUCGUUUGGGCCUGAGAUGUGCUCAGAUUUUCAUUUCAGUUGAUGUAGCUUUGACUUGGAGCAAAACGUUACCUGUCAUAGACUCGCACUGUGGAGAAAAGCUCAAGGCAUGAAUUAGUAUCUUUAAAAAUGUGCUCUUUCAAGCUCAUGAUCCUUUGGGGAGAUCUGAAAGUCAAGAAUUUAAGACUUUUCCUAAAUAAAGGGGUUCUGGUACAUCUGGAAGAUGCAUUUUUUUUCUCUCUCUCUUCUCUAAGAGAGAAACUGGGAGUGGGUGUAGUGGCUCAUGCCUGUAAUCCCAGCAAUUCAGGAGGCCAAGGUGGGUGGAUCGCUUGAGCCCACGAGUUCAAGACCAGCCUGGACAACAUGGCAAGACCCUGUCUCUACAAAACAUACAAAAAAUUAGCCAGGUGUGGUGGCACAUGCCUGUGGUCCCAGCUACUCAGGAAGCUGAGGUGGGAGGAUAGAUUGAGCCCAGGAGGUUGAGGCUGCAGUGAACGUGAUUGCACCACUGUACUCUGGCCUGGGUGACAAGAGUGAGACCCUGUCUCAAAAAAAAAAUUAAAUUAAAUUAAAAAAAGGAGAGAGAUAGGGAGAGGGAGAGAGAGAGAGAGAGAGAGAGAGAGAGAGACACUGAAUGUGAAGGGGAUACCAGGAGAGCUCUUCGGUUUCCAUUCUCUAUCUUCUCUAACCAGGAUGAGUAUUAGGAGACACGCAGCCUCUAAUGAUUAUAUAGAGUAAGAUGGCGUUGAUAUAAUAGAUCUUCCUUCAGCUCUGCUCUCAAGAGCUACACCUAUUCCUUUUUUUUCCUGGGGUGAGAGUGAGUGCUUUUCUUCACUCACUUUAUGGCAAGUCUUGCAGAAGUAGCUCCUGUCUCCGGUUCCCCUACUUCACUCCCGUGUUUCUUCACCUGGUUAAAGUUAUGGGUGCACAACCAUUUCUGCGUUUUAAACCAACUUCCCACUCUCGAUGCAGGUAAUAAUAAAGUGGGUUUGGGAAAGGCCAAGAUUUAGGCACGAAAGCCAGCUAAUGUGGACAAAGCAAAGUGAGGAGAGGGAAAUAUCUGUCAGGGAGGGAGCAUUUCCUGAGCCUGAGGAGUGAGAACUUUCUACAAGAGGGUCUGGCCGGGUCUGUGUCUGCCCAGAAAUCUUCUAAUGGAGCUCAGAAAAAGGCUACUUUGCUUUGUGACAAGCAGAGUGUGCCCAUUGUGGUUCUCUUUGCAGGAGACCUGGCCCAGCAGGCUGUCUGGCAUAGCAUGAGUUUCCCCGUCUCUAGAGCGUAUAGGCAGCAGCCAGAUACCAACCAGCUCAGAUGUGGGAGAGAUGGGCAUUGUAGUUCUUCACUGUCAUUUUAACCUGUCUUAAUCUCCUCCUGAAAUGAUAAAGUAGCUGCAAACAACAUCAAAACCUGGUAAUAUUAACAUGAUUUUUAGCCAAGGAGCCAUGUCUUCAAAAGAAAAUGUGUGUGGAAACUCAAUAUACAAAACAGCUAAAAGUCAAGCUAUUCUAGGUUUGUGGUGGGAUGGGGACCUGAGACCCCACUCAAUUGCAUCCCCUGCUGCCCUCCCUAAGAACCUGUCCUCAGAGAAUCCUAUGAAAAUUAUUGCUAUAACCGAACACCUCUGCUUUUGAGUCCACACACACCUAGCAUAUCACAUACUCACAGACAGAUGCUUUUUCCCCAUUGCGAGAAAUGCAAUGCCAGAUUUCAAUGUUCCUGUGACCUGCACAGAAAACAGUCCAGGGAUUGUGCCCACUUUCUCACAAAUUCUUGCUAAGUGCUUAGUAUGUGCCAGGCACUGUUGUAGUUGCAGGGCUACAGUGAUACGUCAGUAGCCAUGAUCCCUGUCCAUAUGGAAAUGUACUGCACCGUGAAGCUUUAGUGAAAUGAUAAAGUAGCUGCAAAACACAUCAGCAUCCCCAUUCCUGUUCUCCUUCUUCUUUGGCCUUUGUCUCCUCUAGGCCAUUCCUUUCCAACUUUCCAACCUCUAGGUCAUUAUGGUAUCGUUGGUUUCACUUGACCAUUUGAAUACUCCAGGUAAAUUCUUGAACAAUAAAGCUCACAUUAGAGGGGGAGAUUGAACAUGUCUCAAGUCAUCUGAAAAAUUCUGGAAGUUUUAGUCCACUACAGUGGUGUGACAUGGUUCACAAAAAACUCUAGGCUGCAUGAACAGGAGCAUCAUUCCUGAUCCAGUGAACUUUUAGUCUUGUUGUCUUCUCUCUUUUCAGAUCACAUCCAGGGGCCAAAACCAGUUCUGUGAGCCACUGGAUGAAGACAUUGACCAACUAGAAAGCAUCUGCAGAGGUCAAGUAGGACCAUGGGAGAUCCAGAUUCCAUUUAAACAAGAAUGCCUUAAAGAAGUGGGAAUAUUUAGCCUGAGUGAGAGAAAAUGCUCUUACUCUGUGUGUGAUCAGAGGAGGAGAAAGGAGGACAAAGUUACAUCAAUGUGAUCAGCAACCAUUUGAUAGAGCUACUGUGCUCAAGAGGGGACAGUUUGAUUUAUACGUUUGACAAGGUGGAGCCAGGAUCAAUGAGUGAACAUUAAAGGAAAGAAUAUUUGGGCUCAAUAUUUGGGCUCAAUAUUUUGGGCUCAAUAAUUUGGGCUCAAUAAGGAGGACUUUCCCAAUAAUUACAACGUUCCAAACUUGAAAUGGGGUGUCUCAAAAAGGAGUGAGUGCCCUGUUACUGAAAACAUUUAGGUUAGGGCUAAAUAGCCAUCAAUUAGGGUGAUAUAAUGAGAUUCCUGUGACUGUUCCAACAAGCAUCUGGUGUGCACCAGUCAUGUAGAUUCUAAGAGACACUGAGAGCAAAGAGAAACACUUCCUCCCUCAAAGAGCUCAGGGUUUCAAGAGACUGACAUGUAAACAAACUGAUAAUAAUGGCAAUUUGGUAUAACAUAUGCAAUUUGGAGUAACGUGUGCAAAGGAACAUGGGCCAAAUUUUAACUACUAGAGAGAGAAAAGCUGAUGCUCUGCUAGGGGUAGGAGGAGGCUGAGAAUGAAACUAGAGAGGAUUUUAGGGAGAAGGUAAUGUUGAGCAGAUUUGAAGGAUAUGUAGGAGUUUUUUGUGGACACUAUUGUUCAAUUAAUGCUGGUCAAUAAGGAGAACACUCAGGAUAAGUGGGGCAGGGGUUGGGGGUUGCAAAAGACAUGGAGGUAGAAACAGCAUGGCUUAUCAAGGACCCAACUGGUUUGAAAGAUCUUCAGCAUAAGGUGGUGGGAAAGGGAAGAGAGGGGAAGUGGCAGGAGAUCAAGAAGAUGGGAGAGCAAGAAAGAGAAUGCCUUUGAUCUUGAACAGAAGGGCUUCCCUCAUGGAGAUGAGAGGAAAUGCAUAGCAAUGUGGAGAGAGUAAGGGCUGGUCAGUAAGAUUAACAUGGCUGGUGACAACAUAUUUCUCAGUGAAUAACUGAUCAACAUAAGACGAAUGAAGUUGUGUAGGGGUCUCAUGGAGACUGUCCUAAAGACUUAGCAUAAUUGUGGGCAAUGUGAAGGAAAGGCAAAAUAAUUGAUAGAUAGCAUCAAGUACCGAAAGGGAAAAUAUUAAAAUUUGUAGCGUCAGUCCACACAGGCCUCUGAUUUUCUUUAAGAGCACUCAGAUGUGUAGGGGGUCAGAGGAGAUGGGCUCUAAGGUCUUUUCUAAGUUCAAGAUUCCCAAACUCCAUGCCUUGCCAUUAUUCCCUCUUGGGCAUAUGGGAUAUUUUGUAAUGGCUUUUAAAAAAUAUAUACCAUAUAAUUGCCAAGGAAAAUUGUCUAAUUAAAUGAUUUUUAGUAUAUUCACAGAAUUGUGUUAGUAUCAUCCUAAUCAAUUUUGGAAAAUUACUCCCAAAAAAAAUCCUGUACAGGCAUACCUCAAUUUAUUGUGCUUCACUUUACCGUGUUUCACAGAUACUGCGUUUUUUUCCAAAUUGAAGGUUUGUGGCAACCCAGUGUUGAGCAAGUCUAUUGGUGCCAUUUUGCUAAUAGUAUGUGCUCACUUCGUGUCUCUGUCACGUUUUGGUAAUUCUUGCAAUAUUUCUAACAUUUUCAUUAUUGUUAUGUUAUGGUGUUGUGAUCAGUGAUCUUUGAUAUUGUUAUUGUGAUUGUUUUGGGACACCACGAACUGUGCCCAUAUAAGAUGGAAAACUUAAUUGAUAAAUGUUGUCUGCGUUCUGAUUCUUUCAUCAACUGGCUCUUCCCCCGUCUGUCUCUCCCUCUUCUUGGGCCUCCUAUUCUUUGAGACACAACAAUAUCGCAAUUACACCAAUUUAAUAACUCUACAAAGGCCUUUACGUGUUCAAAAAAAAGGAAGAGUCAUAAGUCUGACAUUUGAAAUCAAAAGCUAGAAAUGAUUAAGCUUAGUGAGGAAGGCAUGUAUAAUGCUGAAAGCUGAGAUAGCCAAAAGCUAGAACUCUUGAGCCAAACAGUUAGCCAAGUUAUGAAUGCAAAGGAAAAAUUCUUGAAGGAAAUUAAAGGUGCUAUUCUAGUGAACACAUGAGCAAUAAGAAAGUCAAACAGCAUUAUUGCUGAAAUAAAGUUUGAGUAGUCUGGAUAAAAGAUCAAACCAACCCCAACAUUCCCUUAAGCCAAAGCCUAAUUGAGAGCAAGGCCAUAACUCUUAAAUUCCCUGAAGGCUGAGAGAGGUGAGGAAGCUACAGAAGAAUAGCUGGAAGCUAGCAGAGGUUGGUUCACAAAGUUUAAGAAGCCAUCUCCAUAACAUAAAAGUGCAAGGUGAAGCAGCAAGUGCUGAGAUGGAAGCUGUAGCAAAUUAUCCAGCAGAUCAAGCUAAGAUCAUUGAUGAAGGUGGCUACACUAAACGACAUAUUUUCAAUGUAGAUAAAACAGCCUGCUUUGGAGAAAGAUGACAUCUAAGACUUUUCUAAUUAGAGAUGUCAGUGUUUGCCUUCAAAGCUUCAAAAGAACUGGCUAACUCUCUUGUUAGAGGCUAACGCAGUGGGUGACUUUAAGUUGAAACUAAUGCUCAUUUACCAUUCUGAAAAUCUUGGGGCCCUUGAGAAUUAUGCUAACUA
rnacentral:lncRNA from 10 species